AACGAACGCUGGCGGCAUGCCUAACACAUGCAAGUCGAACGAGACCUUCGGGUCUAGUGGCGCACGGGUGCGUAACGCGUGGGAACCUGCCCUUAGGUUCGGAAUAACUCCCCGAAAGGGGUGCUAAUACCGGAUAAUGUCUUCGGACCAAAGAUUUAUCGCCUUUGGAUGGGCCCGCGUUGGAUUAGCUAGUUGGUAGGGUAAAAGCCUACCAAGGCGACGAUCCAUAGCUGGUCUGAGAGGAUGAUCAGCCACACUGGGACUGAGACACGGCCCAGACUCCUACGGGAGGCAGCAGUGGGGAAUAUUGGACAAUGGGCGAAAGCCUGAUCCAGCAAUGCCGCGUGAGUGAUGAAGGCCUUAGGGUUGUAAAGCUCUUUUACUCGGGAUGAUAAGGACAGGACCGGAGAAUAAGCUCCGGCUAACUCCGUG
rnacentral:rRNA from 1 species